CGGCGCGUGCGCGUCCCAUGGCCUGAGCCGCCGAGCGGCGAGCCGCGCCGCCGAUGCCCUCGUCCCCGCCGUCCUCGCCCGACGCUGCAACCCUCACCCCAAGGUCCGCCGCAACGCUCCUCGCCCGCUGCGCCUCCCGCGCCGCCGCUGCGGCGCUCCACGCGCGCCUCCUCCGCUGCUCCCGCGCCUUCUUCCGCUCCCCGUACCUCGCCAACUGCCUCGCCGCCGCCUACUCCCGCCUCGGCGCCGCCCCGUCCGCCGUCGCGCUCCUGCGCGCCGCACCCAGGCCCAACGUGUUCACCCACAACAUCCUCCUGUCGGCGCUGCUCGGCUCCGGCCACCUCGGGGACGCGCGCAGUCUGUUCGACGGGAUGGCCCAGAGGGACGCGGUCACCUACAACGCCAUGCUCUCCGGCUAUGCCGCCGCCGCGCUCCGGGAAGAGGCGUUCCGUCUCUUCUGCUCCAUGAGGGAGCGUGGCGUCAGGCCAACGGGCUUCACCUUCUCCAUAGUAUCAUCAGCGGUUGCCUCUGCCCGCCACGGCCAGCAGCUUCAUGCCGCUGCUGUCCGACAUGGCCUGGCGCACCUUGAUGCCGUAGUCAGCAAUGCGCUCAUUGAUAUGUAUCGCCGGAUUGGCCUCUUGCAGCAUGCAGCGCGUGCCUUCUCGUGCAUGGAAGAACCAGAUGUCACUUCGUGGAACUCCAUCAUGUCAGUUUACAAGGAUCAGGUUCUCGGCAGUACUGUCUUUCAGUGUUUCCGGUCCAUGAGGAGCAAAGGCUUUUCAGUUGAUGGCUUCAGUGUGUCCACCGUGCUCAGUGUCUGCUCAGAUGUCAAGGACUUCGCCAAAGGUGACCAGAUGUUGGCACUUUGCGUUAAAAUGAGCUUCCUUACAAACUCCAUUGUUUGUAGUGCUGUUAUUGACUUCCUCUGCCUGUCUGACAGGCUGCCUGAUGCUGUUCAGCUUUUCAGAGGAAUGCCAACAUGGGCUUCAGAACCUUGCAAUGCACUGAUAUCGGGCUAUGCAAGGAGUGGCCUAAUGGAAGAAGCCCUCAGCCUCUUUGCGGCGUCUAUGCAAAAUGGUGUAGUUCCAACUGAGUUCACUUUUGCUAGUGUGCUGAGAUGGAGUUCAUGCUUUGGUUUAAUGGAGCAGGGCACUCAAAUCCAUUGCCUCAUUUGUAAGCUUGGAUUUCAGGAUGAUGUAAUUGUUUCCACGGCCCUCACUGACAUGUACUGUAAAUUGGGGUUAACAAGGCAUGCCAGGAAAAUCUUCAGGACAGUUGCUGCCAAAGAUCUGGUGUUAUGGAAUACAAUGCUGCUUGGCCUAUUGCAAAAUGGAAGAGGUAAGGAAGCCCUUGGGGUAUUUAGAAGGAUGCUCAAGUGUGGUAUCCAACCUGACAGAAUCACUCUUUUUGGAGCUUUAUCUGCAUGUAGUUUGGAAGGGCUGGUAACUGAAGGGAUGGAUAUAAUUACCCUGUUUGAAGAUAGGUACCAUAUUAUGCCUAGCAUGGAGCACUAUACUUGUGUGGUCGACAUGUUAUGCCGUGCAGGAAUGUUGAGAGAGGCAGUUAAUUUUGUAGAGAACAAGCUGCCAAAGUUUAGUGCUGCUACUUUCUCUAAUAUUCUGGAGGCUUGCAUAAUCCAAGGGAACAUUGGCAUGGCAGAGCUAGUUGCUGAAAAGAUGGUGAUGCAAAAAUCCCGAUCAUCACUGCCAUAUAUUGUUUUAGCUCAAACGUAUGGUGCCAGAUGUAAGUGGGAAAAGGUGGCUGGAGUGUGGAGGUCAAUGGAAAAUCAAAGAGCAAAGAAGGCUCAGUCAUGCAGCUGGCUGUGUGUCAAGAAUCAUAUUUAUGUGUUUACAUCAGAACAGAUAUUGCACCAUGGAAAAGGAGCUACAUAUGAGGUGUUGGAUCUUCUAUUUUGGGACAUGAUGGAUCAGCCCAAGAACAGUGAAGGAUUAGGUUGUCUCCAGCUGUUCCCGGACUAACCUUAGUGAGCUUCCUAACUAGUUACCUUGCAUUGACAAUACAGAAGUUUCGGAGUGUCAAAGACUAUGAACACUCAAAAAAGGUGCUUUCAGGUUGCAGUAAGCUAUUGCAAGACUUGGUUAGACUAUUGCAACCUGGCAAUUUCUUUGUGUGAAUGUAGCUACUGCAAGGUUACAUAAGAUAUUGAGAUAUGGGCAGAAACAUAUCUUUUCUAACAGCUGCUGUGCUGGAAAAUUGUUGAUGAAGUUACGAAUGGGAUAUAUCAAUUUUCUAAAAGCCAUGCAUCUACAGUUUGUGUGGUGGGUGCUGGUCAUUCCCUACACAUGCUGUGCUAUCAAAUGACAUCACUUGCUCAUGCUAGGUGAUGGCGCCUGUCUUUGUUAGUUUCUUGCACUGGUAGGUGCUGAUUUCUUUGGUACCGGCAGUGCAAGUUCUGAUCAUCAAGAGCCUGCUCAAGGAUUCCCACGGAGUGCCCAAAAACUGGGACAUGGACUCCGUUGGUCCCUGUGCCUAGUCUUUGGUCUCCUGCUCACCAGAGAAUCUUGUUAUUGACUCACUGCACUUGAAACUCCAAGCAAGAAUGUUUCCGGUCUGCUCUCCCCGAGCUUUGGGGGAUGUUCAGUCUUGAGACACUGAUAACAAGCUAACUGGGCAGAUCCCGAGAGAGAUUGGCAAGGUAGCAAAGCUCAGGACCCUUGACCUGUCCAGUACUUGGACCCGUUGUACAAUAGCUUGAGUGGUCCUAUACCGAGAACUUUUGCAAGAACGUUCAUCUAGUCGGGAAUCCUCGUAUCUGCGCUGCUGAACAGGGUUGUACUAGGCCUGUGCUGACACUGAUAUCCUGUCCCUAUAUCACCUGUCAACAGUAGAAGCCAGUAUGCUGUAAAGUAUUUUACGCUUCGCUUGAUGAGUAAGCAGUAGUCCUUCCGUCUUAAAUAAAAGGUUUUGCAGUUGCCUUAUGAUUCAACAAUCGGUUGUAUAAGCUUCUUUCUUGCUGCUGGAUUAUGAUUCUUUCCGAUGUGAAUGAUGAGCUGACCUCAACGUUUUCUCGAGAUCCAUAUAUCACCUGUUGUCUUUAGUUCUGUCUCAGUUACAUUUU